GAUGAACGCUGGCGGCGUGCCUAAUACAUGCAAGUCGAGCGAACAGACGAGAGUGCUUGCACUCUCUGACGUUAGCGGCGGACGGGUGAGUAACACGUGGGUAACCUACCUAUAAGACUGGGAUAACUUCGGGAAACCGGAGCUAAUACCGGAUAAUAUUUAGCUUCGCAUGAAGCAAUAGUGAAAGACGGUUCUGCUGUCACUUAUAGAUGGACCCGCGGUGUAUUAGCUAGUUGGUGAGGUAACGGCUCACCAGGGCAACGAUACAUAGCCGACCUGAGAGGGUGAUCGGCCACACUGGGACUGAGACACGGCCCAGACUCCUACGGGAGGCAGCAGUAGGGAAUCUUCCGCAAUGGACGAAAGUCUGACGGAGCAAUGCCGCGUGAGUGAAGAAGGUUUUCGGAUCGUAAAACUCUGUUGUAAGGGAAGAACAAGUACGUUAGUAACUGAACGUACCUUGACGGUACCUUACCAGAAAGCCACGGCUAACUACGUG
rnacentral:rRNA from 1 species